rnacentral:rRNA from 1 species
UACGUAGGGGGCUAGCGUUGUCCGGAAUCAUUGGGCGUAAAGAGCGUGUAGGCGGCCCGGUAAGUCCGCUGUGAAAGUCGGGGGCUCAACCCUCGAAUGCCGGUGGAUACUGUCGGGCUAGAGUGCGGAAGAGGCGAGUGGAAUUCCUGGUGUAGCGGUGAAAUGCGCAGAUAUCAGGAGGAACACCGAUUGCGAAGGCAGCUCGCUGGGACGUUACUGACGCUGGAGAACGCGGAAAGCGUGGGGAGCAAACAGG